rnacentral:rRNA from 1 species
UGAGUAACGCGUGGGUAACCUGCCCUUAAGUCUGGGAUACCAUUUGGAAACAGAUGCUAAUACCGGAUAAAAGCUACUUUCGCAUGAAAGAAGUUUAAAAGGCGGCGUAAGCUGUCGCUAAAGGAUGGACCUGCGAUGCAUUAGCUAGUUGGUAAGGUAACGGCUUACCAAGGCGAUGAUGCAUAGCCGAGUUGAGAGACUGAUCGGCCACACUGGGACUGAGACACGGCCCAAACUCCUACGGGAGGCAGCAGUC